UACGUAGGGUGCAAGCGUUGUCCGGAAUUAUUGGGCGUAAAGAGCUCGUAGGCGGUCUGUUACGUCGGCUGUGAAAACCUGGGGCUCAACCCCGGGCCUGCAGCCGAUACGGGCAGACUAGAGUUCGGCAGGGGAGACUGGAAUUCCUGGUGUAGCGGUGAAAUGCGCAGAUAUCAGGAGGAACACCGGUGGCGAAGGCGGGUCUCUGGGCCGAUACUGACGUGAGGAGCGAAAGCGUGGGGAGCGAACAGG
rnacentral:rRNA from 1 species